GGCAGACUAACUGCUGUACCAAGUUUGUCCUCCUGUUCUCACCGUAGCUCCUCUCCUAUCGGUCACGCCCUCCAGUUAGCUUGCAGGUGGCUAUGUACUCAUUAGCGUCAAUGGCACUUUCUAUAAGACCGGCACCGGAGGUGGGCUAGUAAGUGAUCCCUAGGCUCCGUACGUCCUCCCUACACUGUGUUCGCUGUGCUGUCACCUAUGAAAGGUAUUUGGCUGUGUACCAGACGCUUCCGGGUAGUGUUUUGUUGAUCUACCGAAGGUCUUGACUGAAAAGACGCCGUGUACGCGCAGGUUGCACUUUCUAUUGGGAGAUGCGUUAAGGUAACAUUGGCUGUAUAUCUCAGUAAGGUUUGCCAUGUAAUAUGUGUGUGUGCAUGUGUACAUAUGUAUGUUUAUAUGCAUGUUUACAGUAACUGGAUCUACUAUAAUGUGUCAUGUUUCGCUGUAAGUCCUUGUGAUUUAACUAGCCAAUAACCUUUUAUUAUGUUGUAUGUGAGCGAUGCUUGUGUGUGAUUUUAUGUAGGUUUGCGUACUGGAGAGAUACCAGGGAGUCCCAUUUCCAUUCAUGUUGAGUGCUGUAUUCCUAGAGGUAAAAGGAAACCGUGUUGUAUUGUAUCUGUAUUGGUUUAGGCUGUAUUUACCAUAAACAAUGGAUUUUAACUGUGUUUGUUUACUCCUUUAGAAAGAUUGCCACUGCUGCUUUGCCUCCUGUAGAUUUAAGUAAUUGUAGCUCUUGCCUCAUUUUGUUUUCUUUAUUUUGUUUUGUUUGUCCGAUUGAUUUGGCCUAAACAUAGGCGUGGCUGGUUUCAUUUAUUUGCCCUCCGUCGUGGUGUGUCGGCAACAGGUGUGGUAUUGGCUGCCCCAGUAUUUUGCUGCGGUAAUGUGUGAUGGUAGUAAUGCUAACAUCUAGCUUUCUUGACCCAGCCAGUUAUUGCCAAUAGCAACCAUAUCUUCCCUUCUCCCCUCCAGAGAAACAGAGUGUUGCAGCUGUUCCGCGGGGCAGGUCGCCGGAUCUGAGUCCUCCUCUUCGUGUACUUCACACAGUAUUUGUAGUGGUAACGUGCACCUCACUAUUUGCAGUGAUCACUCUUUGUAGUACCUGUGCCUAUGCGAGCGUGUGUGUGUGUGUCUGUGAAUAGGCAACAGAAUCCGCAGCACGGGUGGUGUGUCGGUCUCACUCCUCUUCCAGGACAGGUAACCGCUCCCGAACAGCUGAUCAAAUUAACCCUACUUGAUUACAUGUAAUAUUCCUGGUGGCAGCCACUACCUUCCUCUUGCUGGCCUAUUGGGCCUAAUAUGUACUGCACUCCAUCCUGAGAAUCAAACCCAAGACUGACUUUUUAACUGAAUUGCUUGUGAAUAAAUAUUGUUUAUUUUUUCAUUGAAAUACCACGUCUCUGUCAUUACUGGCUUAUCUGUGUGCGAGAGCCCUCUUGUCUAAAUCAAGGUGUUGGAGGUCUAGCUAAAAUACAUCUUGGUGUGAAAGGCCCCAAGUGGCGUAGUCGAGCACUCUAUAGUCAAGACUCUUGUCAUCUGACU